GACGAACGCUGGCGGCGUGCUUAACACAUGCAAGUCGAACGGAAAGGCCCUGCUUUUGUGGGGUGCUCGAGUGGCGAACGGGUGAGUAACACGUGAGUAACCUGCCCUUGACUUUGGGAUAACUUCAGGAAACUGGGGCUAAUACCGGAUAGGAGCUCCUGCUGCAUGGUGGGGGUUGGAAAGUUUCGGCGGUUGGGGAUGGACUCGCGGCUUAUCAGCUUGUUGGUGGGGUAGUGGCUUACCAAGGUUUUGACGGGUAGCCGGCCUGAGAGGGUGACCGGCCACAUUGGGACUGAGAUACGGCCCAGACUCCUACGGGAGGCAGCAGUGGGGAAUAUUGCACAAUGGGCGGAAGCCUGAUGCAGCAACGCCGCGUGCGGGAUGACGGCCUUCGGGUUGUAAACCGCUUUCGCCUGCGACGAAGCGUGAGUGACGGUAAUGGGUAAAGAAGCACCGGCUAACUACGUG
rnacentral:rRNA from 1 species